GACGAACGCUGGCGGCGUGCCUAAUACAUGCAAGUAGAACGCUAACGGAGGAGCUUGCUUCUCUGGAUGAGUUGCGAACGGGUGAGUAACGCGUAGGUAACCUGCCUUGUAGCGGGGGAUAACUAUUGGAAACGAUAGCUAAUACCGCAUAAUAGUAGAUGUUGCAUGACAUUUACUUAAAAGUUGCACUUGCCUCACUACCAGAUGGCCCUGCGUUGUAUUAGCUAGUUGGUGGGGUAACGGCCCACCAAGGCGACGAACCAUAGCCGGCCUGAGAGGGGGUUCGCCAAAACUGGAACUGGAACACGCCCAGAACUCCUAGGGGGGGAACCGUAGGGAAAUUUUGGACAAUGAGGAAAGUCCUAAUGAAGAAAGCCGGGUGAGGGAAGAAGGGUUUCGGAUCGGUAAGGCCCGUUGUUAGAGAAGAAAGAGUGGGAGGGUGAAAAGUUGACAUUGUGACGGUACCUUAACAGAAAGGAACGGCUAACUACGUG
rnacentral:rRNA from 1 species